GUGGGGGUCGUUGGUUCGAGUCCAAUCGCGCCUA
rnacentral:sRNA from 1 species